GACGAACGCUGGCGGCGUGCUUAACACAUGCAAGUCGAACGGAGUGGCGAACGGGUGAGUAACACGUGGGUGAUCUGCCUUUCACUUCGGGAUAGGCUUGGGAAACUAGGUCUAGUACCGGAUAGUGGACGAUGAGCUCGCGUCCUAUCAGAUUGUUGGUGGGGUAAUGGCCUACCAAGGCGUCGACGGGUAGCCGGCCUGAGAGGGUGUCCGGACACAUUGGGACUGAGAUAACGCCCAGACUCCUACGGGAGGCAGCAGUGGGGAAUAUUGCACAAGGGGCGGAAGCCUGAUGCAGCGACGCCGCGUGGGGGAUGAAGGCCUUCGGGUUGUAAACUCCUUUCGACAGGGACGCGGUACCUGUAUAAGAAGCACCGGCUAAGUACGGGCCAACAGCCGCGGUAAUAC
rnacentral:rRNA from 1 species